CCCAAAUACAUGAUAUAUAAAAACAUUUUAAUGAUAACAUACCUUACAAAUAUUUGCUCACUAUAAAUAACUUAGAAAAACCAAAAGGAUAAGGAAGAAAAUAACAAAUAAACAUAUUUCCAUGCAAAAACAGCAUCAGGAAAAUUUUGGUAUAGUUCCUUUCAGUGUUUCUUCUGUGUAUGUGCAAUGCUUUUGUUUCCAGGACUAACUCAUAGGCAUUUAUGUUUUUUACUUUUUUAUUUUUUAUUUUUUGAGACGGAGUUUUGCUCUUGUUGCCCAGGCUGGAGUGCAGUGGCACAACCUCGGCUCACUGCAACCUCCACCUCCCACGUUCAAGUGAUUCUCCUGGCUCAGCUUCCCGAGCACCUGUAAUCCCAGCUACUCUGGAGGCUGAGGCAGGAGAAUCACUUGAACCUGUGAGGUAGAGGUUGCAGUGAGCUGAGGUUGCGACAUUGAACUCUUGGCUGGGCAAUAAGAGUAAAACUCUGUCUCAAAAAAAUAAACUAAGAUAAAUAGAAAAAUGCCAAAUGUUUAGAAAUUAAAUACCAUAUUUUGAAAUAAUUCAUGAGUCAAUUAAGAAAUGAAAAAAGAAACUAAAAAAAUGUUUGAACCAAAUGGUAAUAAAAAUACACAUCUCAAAAUAUCUGGGAUGCUGCUAAAUCUGCACUGAGAUGGAAAUUCCUAGCUUUUAGUGCUUACAUUGGAAAGGAAUAAAGGUCUAAAAUCAAUAUCCUGUAUUUCUACCUUAAGAAGCUAGAAAAACUACACAUAAUCCAAAGUAAAUAGGAAAAAAAAAAAACAAAACAAAACAAAACCAUAAGAAGAAGAAGAGGAAUCAACGAAAUAGAAGGCAGACAAAUAAUCGAGAAACACAGUAAGGCCAAAAGCUGGUUCUUUGAAAUUGUGAGGAAAAUCAGUAAACCCCUAGCUAGACAGAUCAAGAAAAAUAAAGAGGGAUGGCUGGGAACAGUGGCUCACACGUGUAAUCUCAGCACUUUGGGAGGCCAU
rnacentral:lncRNA from 1 species